rnacentral:rRNA from 1 species
UACGUAGGGGGCAAGCGUUGUCCGGAUUUAUUGGGCGUAAAGAGCGUGUAGGCGGCCAGGCAGGUCCGUUGUGAAAACUCGAGGCUCAACCUCGAGACGUCGAUGGAAACCGUCUGGCUAGAGUCCGGAAGAGGAGAGUGGAAUUCCUGGUGUAGCGGUGAAAUGCGCAGAUAUCAGGAAGAACACCUAUGGCGAAGGCGGGUCUCUGGGCCGAUACUGACGCUGAGGAGCGAAAGCGUGGGGAGCGAACAGG